rnacentral:rRNA from 1 species
ACGGCAGCACGGGGGCAACCCUGGUGGCGAGUGGCGAACGGGUGAGUAAUAUAUCGGAACGUGCCCAGUCGUGGGGGAUAACGUAGCGAAAGUUACGCUAAUACCGCAUACGAUCUACGGAUGAAAGCGGGGGAUCGCAAGACCUCGCGCGAUUGGAGCGGCCGAUAUCAGAUUAGGUAGUUGGUGGGGUAAAGGCUCACCAAGCCAACGAUCUGUAGCUGGUCUGAGAGGACGACCAGCCACACUGGGACUGAGACACGGCCCAGACUCCUACGGGAGGCAGCAGUGGGGAAUUUUGGACAAUGGACGCAAGUCUGAUCCAGCCAUUCCGCGUGCAGGACGAAGGCCUUCGGGUUGUAAACUGCUUUUGUACGGAACGAAAAAGCCUUGGCUAAUACCCAGGGUCCAUGACGGUACCGUAAGAAUAAGCACCGGCUAACUACGUGCCAGCAGCCGCGGUAAUACGUAGGGUGCGAGCGUUAAUCGAAAUUACUGGGCGUAAAGCGUGCGCAGGCGGUUAUAUAAGACAGAUGUGAAAUCCCCGGGCUCAACCUGGGAACUGCAUUUGUGACUGUAUAGCUAGAGUGCGGCAGAGGGGGAUGGAAUUCCGCGUGUAGCAGUGAAAUGCGUAGAUAUGCGGAGGAACACCGAUGGCGAAGGCAAUCCCCUGGGCCUGCACUGACGCUCAUGCACGAAAGCGUGGGGAGCAAACAGGAUUAAAUACCCUGGUAGUCCACGCCCUAAACGAUG